CCAGACUCCUACGGGAGGCAGCAGUGGGGGAUAUUGCACAAUGGGGGAAACCCUGAUGCAGCGACGCCGCGUGAGUGAAGAAGUAUUUCGGUAUGUAAAGCUCUAUCAGCAGGGAAGAAAAUGACAGUACCUGACCAAGAAGCCCCGGCUAACUACGUGCCAGCAGCCGCGGUAAUACGUAGGUGGCAAGCGUUGUCCGGAUUUACUGGGUGUAAAGGGCGUGUAGCCGGGCUGACAAGUCAGAUGUGAAAUCCGGGGGCUCAACCCCCGAACUGCAUUUGAAACUGUUGGUCUUGAGUAUCGGAGAGGCAGGCGGAAUUCCUAGUGUAGCGGUGAAAUGCGUAGAUAUACGGAGGAACACCAGUGGCGAAGGCGGAUUGCUGGACAGUAACUGACGCUGAGGCGCGAAAGCGUGGGGAGCAAACAGGAUUAGAUACCCCGGUA
rnacentral:rRNA from 1 species